rnacentral:tRNA from 1 species
UCCCUGGUGGCUCAGAUGGUAAAGCAUCUGCCUGCAAUGCAGGAGACCCGGGUUCGAUCCCUGGGUCGGGAA